CUUAGAAUCUGUAGGGCAUGGAGACUGCUCUGUGGCACAACUAGAGAAGGAGAGAUGUGGGGGACAGUUGGAAGAGUGGUAAAGCAGUAGAGGCAGAAUGCUCAUUUUGGUAAUCAAGGAGCACCAAAACAUAACAAAUGAAUUCUCCCCGAUACCUCCUAAGGAUGAUGACUUAGCACUCACUUUCUCUAGAAGUAAUGGCUACAGAGUUGAAGAGGGGCAGAUAAUCCAGGAUCUUCCCAGAAGAGACAUUCCCACAGCAGGCAGGCAAAAAUUUGCUUUUCUGAGUUCACAUCACAUGUGUGAGUAAAGCUAACGAAAGGGGGUGAGGUAUGUACAGCUGCAUUGGGAACAUGGCUAAUUCAAGGCAAACUCGUUUGGCUCAGAGGGAACAACCAGUUACUUCAGGCAAGCAGCAGAAGCCCACUUGUUAAUGAGGGUUGUUGGUGGUACGGUGGGAACAAGUACUCGGGCCAAGGAGAAUCAAGAUAAAGACUACCUCUCCCACUUGUUAGUAAGCUUUCCAGAUUUUGGAGAUCCAGAAAAGGAAAAGACAUGAUAAGAGAAGAUGCAUCCUGAACAACUUUUAUUAUGAAGAAGCUGAGGCUCUGACAAGUGCAGUUACUUUCACGAGGUGCACAGUUAAGAGGCAGCACUGCUGUGCUUCAUACUGACAGUGCUUGAUCUCUUCUCUUUUACAUUCUCCAUCCCCAGACACUUAACAUCUUUGGCUGGAUUUUCUAGGAGUUUCUUUGGGAUAUGCCAUUAGGUUUGUGAACAAAAUAAGUAUAAAAAUAAUUAUAAAUAUAUAUAUAUAUAUGCAUGUAUGUUGAAUCAGCUAA
rnacentral:lncRNA from 1 species